rnacentral:rRNA from 1 species
AUUGAACGCUGGCGGAAUGCUUUACACAUGCAAGUCGAACGGCAGCACGGGGGCAACCCUGGUGGCGAGUGGCGAACGGGUGAGUAACACAUCGGAACGUGCCCAGUCGUGGGGGAUAACGUAGCGAAAGCUACGCUAAUACCGCAUACGAUCUACGGAUGAAAGCGGGGGAUCGCAAGACCUCGCGCGAUUGGAGCGGCCGAUGGCAGAUUAGGUAGUUGGUGGGGUAAAGGCUCACCAAGCCGACGAUCUGUAGCUGGUCUGAGAGGACGACCAGCCACACUGGGACUGAGACACGGCCCAGACUCCUACGGGAGGCAGCAGUGGGGAAUUUUGGACAAUGGGCGCAAGCCUGAUCCAGCCAUUCCGCGUGCAGGAUGAAGGCCUUCGGUUGUAAACUGCUUUUGUACGGUAACGAAACGGACUCUCUCUAAUACAGGGGCGUAAUGACGGUACCGUAAGAAUAAGCACCGGCUAACUACGUGCCAGCAGCCGC